rnacentral:rRNA from 1 species
GUGGGGAAUAUUGCGCAAUGGGGGAAACCCUGACGCAGCGACGCCGUGUGAGGGAAGAAGGCUUUCGGGUCGUAAACCUCUGUCAGGAAGGAAGAACCUCUCAAGGCUGAACAAGCCUUGGGACUGACGGUACUUUCAAAGGAAGCACCGGCUAACUCCGUGCCAGCAGCCGCGGUAAUACGGAGGGCGCAAGCGUUAAUCGGAAUUACUGGGCGUAAAGCGUGCGUAGGCUGUUUGGUAAGUCAGGCGUGAAAGCCCUCGGCUCAACCGGGGAACUGCGUUUGAUACUGCCGGACUCGAGUCCCGGAGAGGGUGGCGGAAUUCCUGGUGUAGGAGUGAAAUCCGUAGAUAUCAGGAGGAACACCGGUGGCGAAGGCGGCCACCUGGACGGGUACUGACGCUGAGGCACGAAAGCGUGGGGAGCAAACAGGAUUAGAAACCCCGGUAGUCC